UGCCGCCCCUGGUCAUGGGCGCGGGCGGCGUCGUCCGGCUCGACGAGGCGGGCGGACCGCUCGUCGGCUUCGGCUCCGGCGGCCGGGGGACGGCGAC
rnacentral:tRNA from 1 species